rnacentral:rRNA from 1 species
GACGAACGCUGGCGGCGUGCCUAAUACAUGCAAGUAGAACGCUGAAGAGAGGAGCUUGCUCUUCUCGGAUGAGUUGCGAACGGGUGAGUAACGCGUAGGUAACCUGCCUUGUAGCGGGGGACAACUAUUGGAAACGAUAGCUAAUACCGCAUAACAAUGGAUGACACAUGUCAUUUAUUCGAAAGGGGCAAUUGCUCCACUACAAGAUGGACCUGCGUUGUAUUAGCUAGUAGGUGAGGUAAUGGCUCACCUAGGCGACGAUACAUAGCCGACCUGAGAGGAUGAUCAGCCGCACUGGGAAGAGGACGCGGCCCAGCCCCCUGCGUGAGACAGCAGUAGGGAAUCUUCGGCAAUGAGGGCGAGCGUGACCGAGCAACGCCGCGAGAGUGUGGAGGAGUUUCGGCUCGUGGAGCUCGGUUGUAAGCGGGGAGCGGGUGUGUGAGUGGGAAGUUCACGCUGUGACGGUAGCUGACCAAAAAGGGACGGCUAACUACGUG